rnacentral:rRNA from 1 species
CCUACGGGAGGCAGCAGUGGGGAAUAUUGCACAAUGGGGGAAACCCUGAUGCAGCGACGCCGCGUGAGUGAGGAAGUAUUUCGGUAUGUACAGCUCUAUCAGCAGGGAAGAAAAUGACGGUACCUGACUCAGAAGCCCCGGCUAACUACGUGCCAGCAGCCGCGAUAAUCCGUAGGGGGCAAGCGUUAUCCGGAUUUACUGGGUGUAAAGGGUGCGUAGACGGCUAAUCAAGUCAGAAGUGAAAACCCAGGGCUCAACCUUGGGAGUGCUUUUGAAACUGAGUAGCUAGAGUGCAGGAGAGGUAAGCGGAAUUCCUAGUGUAGCGGUGAAAUGCGUAGAUAUUAGGAGGAACACCAGUGGCGAAGGCGGCUUACUGGACUGUAACUGACGUUGAGGCUCGAAAGCGUGGGGAGCAAACAGGAUUAGAUACCCCAGUAGUC